rnacentral:rRNA from 1 species
GACGAACGCUGGCGGCGUGCUUAAAACAUGCAGGUCGAACGGGGGCUUCGGCCCCAGUGGCAAACGGCUGAGUAACGCGUGGGUGACCUACCUGGAAGUGGGGAAUAACUGCCCGAAAGGGUGGCUAAUACCGCAUGUGAUGGCGAGACCGAUCUCGUCAUGAGAGUCUUCGGACGCUUCGAGAGGGGCCCGCGUUCGAUUAGCUAGUUGGUGGGGUAACGGCCUACCAAGGCGACGAUCGAUAGCUGGUCUAAGAGGAUGAUCAGCCAGACUGGGACUGCGACACGGCCCAGACUCCUACGGGAGGCAGCAGUUAGGAAUUUUGGGCAAUGGGCGAAAGCCUGACCCAGCAACGCCGCGUGGGUGAUGAAGGCCUUCGGGUCGUAAAGCCCUUUUUCAGGGGAAGAUGAUGACGGUACCCUGAGAAUAAGCCCCGGCUAACCACGUGCCAGCCGCCGCCGUAA